rnacentral:snRNA from 1 species
CGAUGUGAGGACGAUCGGGCUGUGACAUCUGUCACCCCACUGAUCGCCAGGGUUGAUUCGGCUGAUCUGGCUGGCUAGGCGGGUGUCCCCUUNNNNNNNNNNCCAGGGUUGAUUCGGCUGAUCUGGCUGGCUAGGCGGGUGUCCCCUUACUCCCUUACCGCUCCAUGUGCAUCCCUCCCGAUGCUGCGUGCUCGGUGGAAGAGGACGACCAUCCCAGAUAGAAGGAGUGUACCGAUCUUCAGUCAAGGGCAACAAAAGA